rnacentral:rRNA from 1 species
AUUGAACGCUGGCGGCAUGCUUUACACAUGCAAGUCGAACGGUAACAGGCCGCAAGGUGCUGACGGGUGGCGAACGGGGGAGUAAUGCAUCGGAACGGGCCCAGUCGUGGUGGAUAACUACUCGAAAGAGUAGCUAAUACCUCAUACGAGCUAUGGAUUAAAGCGGGGGGCCGUAAGGCCUCGCGCGAUUGGUGCUGUCGAUGUCAGAUUAGGUAGUUGGUGGGGUAACGGCUCACCAAGCCAACGAUCUGUAGCUGGUCUGAGAGGACGACCAGCCACACUGGGACUGAGACACGGCCCAGACUCCUACGGGAGGCAGCAGUGGGGAAUUUUGCACAAUGGGCGCAAGCCUGAUCCAGCAAUGCCGCGUGCAGGAAGAAGGCCUUCGGGUUGUAAACUGCUUUUGUACGGAACGAAACGGCUCUGGUUAAUACCCGGGGAUAAUGACGGUACCGAAAGAAUAAGCACCGGCUAACUACGUG